AACUCCAUACCAAUUAGAGUCUGUUAAGGUUAUGAAAAAAAAGUACAAGAAUACACCAAACAAUACAGUUGACAGUAGUAUCAGAUAUGAAAGUUUUAUUGUUGUUGUGGCUAAUGCGUCAAAAAUAAAUCGUUUGAUUGUUGCUGUUAACCAAUGGUGUAAAUGUGGAUACUGUAAUGCCAGUUGAAAAAGAAUGUCUUUGUUGUGUUGAAAUAAAAGAAAUAAGUAUUGCCAAAGAUCAAAAGUGCAUAACAGAGCACAGAAGUUUUACAACUGGCUGUAUUGAACCAUAUCCAUUAUAAAUAUCACUGGCGAGUCCGAAAGACAGGGAAGGUGCAUGGAUGCCAGAUUCAUUUGAAGAAACUCCGAAUAAAUAUGCUGCGUAUCGUCAGUGGUUACGUGGUUAUGUCGUCAGUUUACGUGGUUAACUUAUUGUAAACUUGAAGAUUUAAUCGAAAAAUUCUACCAGCAUGUGUUUUCUCAGCAAUAAGAUCCAGGUUUCCUGACGAAAAUGGAAUAUACACAAAUUUUGAUGGUGAUGACAAAGACACUUUAAGAGUGUCUGAAAUAGCAGAGGCAUCGAAAUACAUUAGAGGAUUUGAAAAUGAAGAACUUUAAAAAACUUUAAACAAACAACAAAACAGCUAUUUUCAUAGCCACAAAUAAUAUAUGUAUGUAUAUAUAUAUAUAUAUAUAUAUAUAUAUAAAUAUAUAAAUAUGUG